AAAGAGUUAUUAUUCAGAUUUAAGUAAUACCUAACUUGUUGUAAUUUGAUAACUUUAGAAACAUUUAUAUCUAUACAUUGUUUAAUUUUAUUGUAAAGUUUAAUUGAAAAAUUAAAUGUUAUUGAAAAUUUGAAAUACAGAUCCUGUGUCACAGCCGUGCUUACAAGGAUCUGACAACACUCCUGUUGUACCUUCUGUUCUUGUUAUUAGUCCCCUACCCAAGAAGUUUGCACUCUGUCCGUCUGUCCAUCCCUCAGUCCUGCAAAUAAGUUUUCCA
rnacentral:lncRNA from 1 species